UGGUGGAGUGAUUUGUCUGGUUAAUUCCGUUAACGAACGAGACUGCUGCCUGCUAAAUAGGUUGGUUAGUGAAUUUCACUGAUAUAAUCUUCUUAGAGGGACGGUGCAUUCUAUUAGAUGCAGGAAGAUAGCAGCAAUAACA
rnacentral:rRNA from 1 species